rnacentral:rRNA from 1 species
CGGGGGAUCGCAAGACCUCGCGCGAUUGGAGCGGCCGAUAUCAGAUUAGGUAGUUGGUGAGGUAAAGGCUCACCAAGCCGACGAUCUGUAGCUGGUCUGAGAGGACGACCAGCCACACUGGGACUGAGACACGGCCCAGACUCCUACGGGAGGCAGCAGUGGGGAAUUUUGGACAAUGGGCGCAAGCCUGAUCCAGCCAUGCCGCGUGCGGGAAGAAGGCCUUCGGGUUGUAAACCGCUUUUGUCAGGGAAGAAAAGGUUCUGGCUAAUACCUGGGACUCAUGACGGUACCUGAAGAAUAAGCACCGGCUAACUACGUGCCAGCAGCCGCGGUAAUACGUAGGGUGCAAGCGUUAAUCGGAAUUACUGGGCGUAAAGCGUGCGCAGGCGGUUAUGCAAGACAGAGGUGAAAUCCCCGGGCUCAACCUGGGAACUGCCUUUGUGACUGCAUGGCUAGAGUACGGUAGAGGGGGAUGGAAUUCCGCGUG